AGAGUUUGAUCCUGGCUCAGAUUGAACGCUGGCGGCACGCUUAACACAUGCAAGUCGAACGGCAGCACGAUGUUAGGAAACUGACAUGGGUGGCGAGUGGCGGACGGGUGAGUAAAGCGUAGGGAUUUACCCUGAAGAGGAGGAUAACCCGGGGAAACUCGGGCUAAUACUGCAUACUACUCUGAGGAGGAAAGGAUGGG
rnacentral:rRNA from 1 species